rnacentral:rRNA from 1 species
CAUGCAGGCGGUUAGACAAGUCAGAUGUGAAAUCCCCGCGCUUAACGUGGGCAUUGCAUUUGAAACUGUUUAGCUAGAGUUCUGUAGAGGGGGGUAGAAUUCCAGGUGUAGCGGUUAAAUGCGUAGAUAUUAGAAGGAACACCAGUGGCGAAGGCGGUUUGCUGGGCCAUUACUGACGCUGAGGCACGAAAGCGUGGGGAGCAAAUAGGAUUAGAUACCCGUGUA